AUGCUUGACUCAGCAGCACAUAUACUAAAGUAGGAAUGAUACAGAGAAGAUCAGCAUGGCCUAUGAACAAGGGUGGCAAACAAACCUGUGAAGCAUUCCACAUUUUU
rfam:Erinaceus europaeus unplaced genomic scaffold scaffold00324, whole genome shotgun sequence